rnacentral:rRNA from 1 species
GACGAAGGAUGCAAGCGUUAUCCGGAUUCAUUGGGUUUAAAGGGAGCGUAGGCGGCCCUGUAAGUCAGUGGUGAAAUCUCUCGGCUUAACCGAGAAAUCGCCAUUGAUACUGCAGGGCUUGAGUACAGUUGCCGUUGGCGGAAUAUGACAUGUAGUGGUGAAAUACAUAGAGAUGUCAUAGAACACCGAUUGCGAAGGCAGCUAACGAAACUGUAACUGACGCUGAGGCUCGAAAGUGCGGGGAUCAAACAGG